rnacentral:rRNA from 1 species
CCUACGGGAGGCAGCAGUGGGGAAUUUUGCACAAUGGGCGCAAGCCUGAUCCAGCCACGCCGCGUGUCUGAAGAAGGCCCUCGGCUUGUAAAGCCCUUUCAGCAGGGAAGAAAAGGACGUUGCCUGUAUCGGCAGCUCAUGCUAACUACGGGCCAGCAGCCGCGGUAAUACGUAGGGCGCAAGCGUUAGACGGAAUUACUGGGUGUAAAGUGGGCGCGGACGGCGACGCAAGCAGGGAGUGAAAGCGCCGGGCUCAACCUCGGGACUGCUCUCGGAACUGGGUGGCUGGAGUGCGUGAGGGGGAGGCAGAAUUCCUGGUGUAGCAGUGAAAUGCGUAGAUAUGAGGAGGAACACCGAUGGCGAAGGCGGCCUCCUGGAAUACCACUGACGUUGAGGCGCGAAAGCGUGGGGAGCAAACAGGAUUAGAUACCCGAGUAGUC